CCGUAAGUCUCGUUUACUUUCACUUUACCACUUCCGGGUACAUCGGCAGACUUAUUUUCCGUUACGCAUAUAGGUAACCCGAAGAACUCGAGGGAUAUAGAAGUUAAAUUUGUUUCGGUCCUCUUCAGAUUUGAAGGAAUUGAUAGCACGGGUCAAAAAUGCAGAUGUAUAGACAAGGAGGUAUAUGACAAGUAUAGAAUAUACAGUUGUUCAAUACGGACCAUUAAUCAACUGUUUGCACUGCCUAUGAUCCUGAACUAUCUAUACAUCAAAGAUAAAAAGGGAAAAGAUGAAGGAGGAUUUGUCCAUGAAGACCUUUAUUGCAACUACCAUCUUCCAGUUCCUUAAUUUGAGAAUGAUAUCAGACAACACACAGUUACAGUGAAAUAUUAGUUUAAUAUAAGCCACUGAAAAUAGUCAAAUGUACUUUCCUGAAGAAGAUGAAUGACAUCCAGCACAAAAAUCUUAAUGUAUAAAGAGUAUGAUUUUAUGGUGUUUGACACUAUGAUCUUGUUAACAUGUUAAUGUCACAAUGAUAGAAACAGAGUAAAAUAUCCACAUUUCAUUGCAGUUUUAAGUAUUAAAACUAGAUACUCUAUAUAUAGCAAAGCUGAUAACACACCAGAGAUAAGGUUUUUUCAUGGAAUCACAGUAGAGUCAUAUGACAUUAUGGACAUUAAAUGACUAUGCAGUAAAGAUUAGCAAAAAUAUUAUUUAUCAUCUACUACUAAUAUUGUGAGGUAAUCAUUGAUAAGCUCACAAAUUUGCAAUCAAAGUUUUGUUAUAAAGCUGAACAUUUUUCAAUUAGAAUAUGAUUUAUAACUAUAUGAUAAUUUUUUCAUGUUAAUUUUCAAAGUCUUUACAUUUGUAAAAGGAAAUAAUCUUAUUCUUGUAUCAGUAGACAUUCACAGUGUAAAGUUACAUUGUCCAAAUAACUAAUUAUAAAGUGCUUUCCUGAAGUUUUUCUUCCACUGGAAAAUUAGUGUGAUAUAUAUGCUAAGCAGUGCACUAUAAAUUGUGUAAAAAUAAAAGUUUAUUAAACUUAUGAACUGUUUUUUGUUUCUACUAUUUGGCAUAUAUCUAUAGCAGUGCUUGAUCAUAAGAGUUCAUCUGCAAAAUAAGUGUCACUGUGUACUUUAAUUCUCUAACAGCAAUGGCUAGAUUGCUUGAAUAUGCAAGCAUUGACUAUAGUAAAUACUAUGCAUGUCAUUUGAAUUUUGUCUGUCCUGAAAUCGAAACAGACACUAUCUAAAUAAUAUUGAUGAAAAGUUCUUGACAACUCUUCAAUGACUACAUUUACACAUAUGUACA